UGGGAAUAACUCAGUGGUAGAGCACUUGCCUAGCAUAUGUGAGGUCCUAGGUUCAAUUCCUAGCACAG
rnacentral:tRNA from 1 species